GCUUUACUGUAGCUUAGCAUUGAAUUUAGGUAAUGCAUGUACAGGAUAGGUGGGAGGCUGUGAGAAUAGGGCGUCAGCCUUGUUGGAGCCGUUGUUGGGAUACCACCCUUGUAUUAUUUGAGUUCUAACCGCGAUGAGUGAAUCCUCAUCCGGGACACUGCUUGGCGGGCAGUUUGACUGGGGCGGUCGCCUCCCAAAGAGUAACGGAGGCGCCCAAAGGUUCCCUCAGCACGGUCGGAAAUCGUGCGAAGAGUGUAAAGGCAAAAGGGAGCUUGACUGCAAGACAUACAGGUCGAGCAGGGACGAAAGUCGGGCUUAGUGAUCCGGUGGUUCCGCAUGGAAGGGCCAUCGCUCAACGGAUAAAAGCUACCCCGGGGAUAACAGGCUUAUCUCCCCCAAGAGUUCACAUCGA
rnacentral:rRNA from 2 species